rnacentral:lncRNA from 1 species
GGCAAGCACGAGGAGCGGCAGGACGAGCAUGGCUACAUCUCCCGGUGCUUCACGCGGAAAUACACGCUGCCCCCCGGUGUGGACCCCACCCAAGUUUCCUCCUCCCUGUCCCCUGAGGGCACACUGACCGUGGAGGCCCCCAUGCCCAAGCUAGCCACGCAGUCCAACGAGAUCACCAUCCCAGUCACCUUCGAGUCGCGGGCCCAGCUUGGGGGCCCAGAAGCUGCAAAAUCCGAUGAGACUGCCGCCAAGUAAAGCCUUAGCCCGGAUGCCCACCCCUGCUGCCGCCACUGGCUGUGCCUCCCCCGCCACCUGUGUGUUCUUUUGAUACAUUUAUCUUCUGUUUUUCUCAAAUAAAGUUCGAAGCAAC